AUGAACGCUGGCGGCGUGCCUAAUACAUGCAAGUCGAGCGAACAGAUGAGGAGCUUGCUCCUCUGACGUUAGCGGCGGACGGGUGAGUAACACGUGGAUAACCUACCUAUAAGACUGGGAUAACUUCGGGAAACCGGAGCUAAUACCGGAUAAUAUAUUGAGCCGCAUGGUUCAAUAGUGAAAGACGGUUUUGCUGUCACUUAUAGAUGGAUCCGCGCCGCAUUAGCUAGUUGGUAAGGUAACGGCUUACCAAGGCAACGAUGCGUAGCCGACCUGAGAGGGUGAUCGGCCACACUGGAACUGAGACACGGUCCAGACUCCUACGGGAGGCAGCAGUAGGGAAUCUUCCGCAAUGGGCGAAAGCCUGACGGAGCAACGCCGCGUGAGUGAUGAAGGUCUUCGGAUCGUAAAACUCUGUUAUUAGGGAAGAACAAAUGUGUAAGUAACUAUGCACGUCUUGACGGUACCUAAUCAGAAAGCCACGGCUAACUACGUG
rnacentral:rRNA from 1 species